rnacentral:rRNA from 1 species
CCGGCCUGAGAGGGUGACCGGCCACACUGGGACUGAGACACGGCCCAAACUCCUACGGGAGGCAGCAGUGGGGAAUAUUGCACAAUGGGCGCAAGCCUGAUGCAGCGACCCCCCGUGAGGGAUGACGGCCUUCGGGUUGUAAACCUCUUUCAGCAGGGAAGAAGCCUUGCCUUUUUGGGUGGGUGACGGUACUUGCAGAAGAAGCACCGGCUAACUACGUGCCAGCAGCCGCGGUAAUACGUAUGGUGCAAGCGUUGUCCGGAUUUAUUGGGCGUAAAGAGCUCGUAGGCGGCUUGUCGCGUCGAUUGUGAAAGCUCAGGGCUUAACCCUGGGUCUGCAGUCGAUACGGGCAGGCUAGAGUUCGGUAGGGGAGACUGGAAUUCCUGGUGUAGCGGUGAAAUGCGCAUAUAUCAAGAGGAACACCGGUGGCGAAGGCGGGUCUCUGGGCCGAUACUGACGCUGAGGAGCGAAACGUGGGGAGCGAAAGGAUUAGAUCCCUGGUAUGCACGCUGUAACGGUGGGAACUAGGUGUGGGCAGCAUUCCACGUUGUCUGUGCCGUAACUACGCAUUAGUUCCCGCCUGGGGAGUACGGCCGCACGCUAAACUCUAGGGAUUGACGGGGGCCGCACAACGGCGACAUGUGGCUUAUUCGACGCACGCGAAAAACUUACAAGGCUUGAAUACGCCGGAAAUCAUGGAGAAUGGUCCUCUUUGAUCAGUGUCAAGUGUGCAGGGUUCGUCAGCUCGUG